rnacentral:rRNA from 1 species
GAUGAACGCUGGCGGCGUGCCUAAUACAUGCAAGUCGAGCGAAUGGAUUAAGAGCUUGCUCUUAUGAAGUUAGCGGCGGACGGGUGAGUAACACGUGGGUAACCUGCCCAUAAGACUGGGAUAACUCCGGGAAACCGGGGCUAAUACCGGAUAAUAUUUUGAACUGCAUGGUUCAACAUUGAAAUGCGGCUUCGGCUGUCACUUAUGGAUGGACCCGCGUCGCAUUAGCUAGUUGGUGGGGUAACGGCCUACCAAGGCAACGAUGCGUAGCCGACCUGGGAGGGUGGUCGGCCACACUGGGACUGAGACACGGCCCAGACUCCUACGGGAGGAAGCAGUAGGGAAUCUUCCGCAAUGGACGAAAGUCUGACGGAGCAACGCCGCGUGAGUGAUGAAGGCUUUCGGGUCGUAAAACUCUGUUGUUAGGGAAGAACAAGUGCUAGUUGAAUAAGCUGGCACCUUGACGGUACCUAACCAGAAAGCCACGGCUAACUACGUGCCAGCAGCCGCCGCAA